rnacentral:rRNA from 1 species
AUAUUGCACAAUGGGCGAAAGCCUGAUGCAGCAACGCCGCGUGAAGGAAGAAGGUCUUCGGAUCGUAAACUUCUGUCCUUGGGGAAGAUAAUGACGGUACCCUUGGAGGAAGCCCCGGCUAACUACGUGCCAGCAGCCGCGGUAAUACGUAGGGGGCAAGCGUUAUCCGGAAUUAUUGGGCGUAAAGAGUGCGUAGGUGGUGACUUAAGCGCGGGGUUUAAGGCAAUGGCUCAACCAUUGUUCGCCCUGCGAACUGGGUUACUUGAGUGCAGGAGAGGAAAGCGGAAUUCCUAGUGUAGCGGUGAAAUGCGUAGAUAUUAGGAGGAACACCAGUGGCGAAGGCGGCUUUCUGGACUGUUACUGACACUGAGGCACGAAAGUGUGGGGAGCAAACAGG